UAAAUGCUGUCCGAGCAGGUGUC
rnacentral:piRNA from 1 species